CCGGUUGAUCCUGCCGGACCCGACCGCUAUCGGGGUGGGGCUUAGCCAUGCGAGUCAAGCGCCCCAGGGACCCGCUGGGGUGCGGCGCACGGCUCAGUAACACGUGGCCAACCUACCCUCGGGAGGGGGAUAACCCCGGGAAACUGGGGCUAAUCCCCCAUAGGGGAAGGGUGCUGGAAGGCCCCCUCCCCGAAAAGAGCCACGUCCGGUACCCGGCGCGGCUCGCCCGAGGAUGGGGCUACGGCCCAUCAUGGUAGCUGGCGGGGUAACGGCCCGCCAGGCCGAAGACGGGUGGGGGCCGUGAGAGCGGGAGCCCCGAGAUGGGCACUGAGACAAGGGCCCAGGCCCUAUGGGGUGCAGCAGGCUCGAAUACUCCGCAAUGCGGUAACCCGCGACGGGGCCACCCCGAGUGCCGCCCGAUGAGGGCGGCUUUUCCCCCGUGUAAGUAGCUGGGGGAAUAAGCGGGGGGCAAGUCUGGUGUCAGCCGCCGCGGUAAUACCAGCUCCGCGAGUGGUCGGGGUGUUUACUGGGCCUAAAGCGCCCGUAGCCGGCCCGGUAAGUCACCCCUGAAAUCCAUGGGCUCAACCCAUGGGCCGGGGGUGAUACUGCCGGGCUUGGGGGUGGGAGAGGCCGAGGGUACUCCCGGGGUAGGGGCGAAAUCCGAUAAUCCCGGGAGGACCACCAGUGGCGGAAGCGCUCGGCUGGAACACGCCCGACGGUGAGGGGCGAAAGCUGGGGGAGCAAAGGGGAUUAGAUACCCCUGUAGUCCCAGCUGUAAACGAUGCGGGCUAGCUGUUGGGUGGGCUUAGUGCCCGCCCAGUGGCGUAGGGAAGCCGUUAAGCCCGCCGCCUGGGGAGUACGGCCGCAAACCUGGCACUGGGCCACAAGCCCAGGCCGGGGCGGAAGGCUGAAAUUAAAGGAAUUGGCGGGGGGGCACCACAAGGGGUGAAGCUUGCGGCUUAAUUGGAGUCAACGCCGGAAACCUCACCCGGGGCGACAGCAGGAUGAAGGCCAGGCUAACGACCUUGCCGGACGAGCUGAGAGGAGGUGCAUGGCCGUCGCCAGCUCGUGCCGUGAGGUGUCCAGUUAAGUCUGGCAACGAGCGCGACCCCCGCUCCCUGUUGCUACCCUACCCUUCGGGGUGGGGGGCACACAGGGAGGACUGCCGGCGUAAGCCGGAGGAAGGAGGGGGCCACGGCAGGUCAGUAUGCCCCGAAACCCCGGGGCUGCACGCGAGCUGCAAUGGCGGGGACAGCGGGUUCCGACCCCGAAAGGGGGAGGCAAUCCCGUAAACCCCGCCCCAGUAGGAAUCGAGGGCUGUAACUCGCCCUCGUGAACGUGGAAUCCCUAGUAACCGCGUGUCACCAACGCGCGGUGAAUACGUCCCUGCCCCUUGCACACACCGCCCGUCGCGCCACCCGAGGGGAUCCUUAACGAGGCCCCCUGGGUAACUGGGGGGUCGAGUUGGGGGUCCCCAAGGGGGGCGAAGUCGUAACAAGGUGGCCGUAGGGGAACCUGCGGCCGGAUCACCUCCU
rnacentral:rRNA from 1 species